CGUCCGGGCAACCGUGCCCGUACGCCCGUUCCGGUACCUGAUACGGCCGGAUUCGG
ncrna:Kitasatospora azatica KCTC 9699 L17-Actino-Proteobacteria ribosomal protein leader